rnacentral:rRNA from 1 species
UGGGGAAUAUUGGACAAUGGGCGAAAGCCUGAUCCAGCAAUGCCGCGUGGAUGAAGAAGGUUUUCGGAUUGUAAAGUCCUUUCGGCGGGGACGAUGAUGACGGUACCCGCAGAAGAAGCCCCGGCUAACUUCGUGCCAGCAGCCGCGGUAAUACGAAGGGGGCUAGCGUUGCUCGGAAUGACUGGGCGUAAAGGGCGCGUAGGCGGUUUGGACAGUUAGGCGUGAAAUUCCUGGGCUCAACCUGGGGACUGCGCUUAAUACAUCCAGACUUGAGUGUGGAAGAGGGUUGUGGAAUUCCCAGUGUAGAGGUGAAAUUCGUAGAUAUUGGGAAGAACACCGGUGGCGAAGGCGGCAACCUGGUCCAUUACUGACGCUGAGGCGCGAAAGCGUGGGGAGCAAACAGGAUUAGAUACCCCCGUAGUCC